rnacentral:antisense_RNA from 1 species
CUUCACGGAGCCCAGCCACAGCGGCCGUCCGUCCGGACGCUCGCGCCCGUAGGUGGCCAGCAGCGCCUCGGCCUC